GAAGCUGAUGACAUGGACGAUCCUGCUCCCACCUACUGCUUCAUGGCAUGUGGUGCCAAGGUAAAAUCACAUGAUGCUUACUUUCAAAUAUCAAGUGAAGAUGACUCUGAUUGUGAAUCCAAACCCAGCUACAAAACACUUGCUAAAAUUGCUACUGAACAACAAAGGGCUAUGGAACAUACUCAAAAACUGUUAGACAAAAGCGAUGACCUGUUGGACGUGGAAAUGACACGUUCACAGUCCUUAGUAGAGGACAUAAAAAAUCUUCAUGCUAAGUACCAAGAACUUGAAAGUCUUCAUGAGACGCUCUCAACC
rnacentral:rRNA from 1 species